rnacentral:lncRNA from 1 species
CUGAGCCCUCUCUUCUACACUCAGUCCUCAUACGUCAGUGAAAACUCUGCACUUGGAAGGCCCAUUAGUCUCAGAGAAGCUGGCAGGAAAUGAAUUUCCUUGUGCAUCUCCAGUCAAGGACAAUGCCAUUAAGGGUUGCAAAAACUACAAUAUCUCAGAGAAGAGAUCUUCAAAUUCUAUUACUGCUGCACCAUUAACACACUUUUAUUUCAUUUCCACCCAGGGCUGGAAACACAAGUAAAGAAGCACGAAAGUUAAGGUAGAAUAAAAUUGUGAUUAUGAAAAAAAAGAAACAAAUUCGAAAAGGAGAUGUCUAUAUUGAAUUAGCUGUAGAGUAGAUCUCUGAGUGUUUGCUAUUCUUUGAUGAUCACAGUUGAAUCUGUUUUUAAUUUGCAGUGGUAUUUGCUUUUUAAAAAUGCUAUUUGGGAGUUCCCGUUAUGGCUCAGUGGUGACGAACCUGACUAGCAUCCAUGAGGACUCAGGCUUGAUCCCUAGCUCAGUGGGUUAAGGAUCCCUAGCUCACAUUGAGAACUAUGUCUAGAUACUCACGUUGCAACAGAAGAAAGGGUGGGGGAAAAACUGUAAUUGUAAUGUAUACAUGUAAGGAUAACCUGACCCCCUUGCUGUACAGUGGGAAAAUAAAAAAAAAAAAAAAGGAUCCCUAGCUCAUGGGUUAAGGAUCCGGAGUUGCUGUGAGCUGUGAUGUGGCUUGGAUCUGGCAUUGCUGUGGCUGUGGUGUAGGCCAAAGGUUAUAGCUCUGACUCGACCCCUAGCCUGAGAACCUCCAUAUGCUGUGGGUGCGGCCCUAAAAAAAAAAAAGAAAAAAAAUUAGCUGAAAUAACUUGUCCAGGGUCAUACAAGGGCAAUUUUCAGACUUUAAAGUUAGUAAAUAAAAAUGCCACAUUAAACUUCUUUUGCUUCUCAGACGUAUAUCUUUGGAUUUUAUUUGGUUCUUCCUGAAAAUAUUCCAGUUGGUUCUCACUGAUUCUCAGGACAGGCUAUAUUUCAUCUCUUUUCACAGGAAAAUAUAACUCCCCUUAAGAACAGCUUUAAGUGUGUAUGGAUAGACACAGCCGAAAAUGUGGUUGAAGCUGGAGAAAUGAUUACUCAGUUUGACAGUGUGGCCAAUAAAAUAAAAAAGAGGGAAAGAACCAGAAAUACAGGGAGAGAGGAAGUCUUCAAUAUAUUAUAUAAGAUAAUAUAUUAUCUUGUAGAAAUAACCUACAUGUAGCUUUGGUAAAAACAGCUGUUUGCUUUUGAGAGAAAUCCACCUUCAAGAGUCUAGGGGCUGUGGGGAGUUCCCGUUGUGGCUCAGUGGGUUACAAACUCGACUAGUAUCCAUGAGGAUGCGGGUUUGAUCCCUGGCCUUGCUCAGUGGGUUUAGGACUUCGCGUUGCUGUGAGUUGUGGUGUCGGUCACGGAUGUGGCUCGAUCUGGCAUUGCUGUGGCUGUGGCAUAGGUUGGCAGCUGCAGCUCCAAUUGGACCCCUAGCCUGGGAACUUCCAUAUGCCUAGGGUCUGUGGAUGCAAAUGAUGGGAAAGUUUGUACAUCAGGAUGGGUGGUGGGAAUAUUUAUCCUUUUUUUUGCUGCUUAGUCUCUCACUCUUCCUUUGCGACCUCUUCUUGAUCCCUUAUAUGUCUUUUUGCCUCAGUCUGGAUUAUGAACAGCCUUACUGGUGACCCUCAAUGGUUGAAGCUCUUGGAAGUGGUGACACUUUUUCACACAGAACCUGACAAGAGAAAGGGAACCCUAAGCUUCAGUAAUGAGUACUGGGCAUAGCAAGGUCAAUCUUCUCUGCCAGGCUGCUGUGGUCCUUAUGCUAUUGUACACAUGUUUGUAGAAAGAGGUCAGAGGUACUGGAAUGACUACGGGAAAUACAUUGUUUCCACUUGGUAGUCUUUUGGUUUUGUUUUGUUUUUAUUUUAAGCUUUUCUCUCAUUCCCAUGUUACCAUCCUUAGUAGUCAAGGUACCUGCAUUGUGGGUAGAUUCUUCGUUGAAUCUAUCUUGGGAAAUUGAAUUUUCCUUUUCCCUGAAUAUGAAGCUUGUUUUGUAAAAGGUUUCAGCUUAUAUUUAAAGAAUUAUGCUGGAGUUCCUGUCAUGGCGCAGUGGUUAACGAAUCCAACUAGGAACCAUGAGGUUGCGGGUUUGGUUCCUGCCGUUGCUCAGUGGGUUAACCAUCCGGCGUUGCCGUGAGCUGUGGUGUAAGUUGCAGAUGCGGCUCGGAUCCUGCGUUGCUGUGGCUCUGGCGUAGGCCGGUGGCUGCAGCUUUGAUUCGACCCCUAGCCUGGGAACCUCCAUAUGCCGUGGGAGCGGCCCAAAGAAAUAGC